UACAGAGAGUGGUAGAGCAGGGUGUCCAGUGGCAGCUCUCCCACACUCGCUCCGCUCCUCCUCAUCCAGCGCUGGAGCCAGACUGCAGCUCAGGCUUUUUAUCAUUUAGCUGCAGGGAUAGAUGACUGUAAUGAAGGCGGCUCCUGACCGUCUGCUCCUCAUGGGGUAACAUCAGAUGAUAAUCUGCUUCACAGCACAUGUGUCAGAUGGAAGGAAUGCUAAUCUGGAAGAGGUGCAGAGCUUGGACUUUUUGGCAGCCAGUUUCCACUCUGCACUUACUUUCCAUGUGGUGCCGCUCCAGAGGCUCCAGGCGGGAGAAGCCUGUUUGGGGAACGGAGGUGUUGACGGAUCCCAGAUCGCCCCAUUGACCACGCCCCCCAUCUGAGGGUCACGGCUCUGAAGGACAACUGACCUGAACUUCUGUUCCAGUACCACUUCCAAAUCUGUAGUUCAUAUUAAGGUCUGGAAUGAAUGAUUGUGAUUUCUCAAUGAAGAUGUUAAAUGUGUGAGACCUAGGUUUGCUGAUCUUCACCUGUCAACUCACGUGGUUUACGGGGACUCUCCAUAGGCAUAAUGGUUUUUAUACUGCACCAACUGUAUUUUCUAUCACCCUUCACCAACCCUACAAAAUUGGGGUUGAUUUCGACUUCACAUACAAACGUAAGUAGAAUAGGCUGAUUAAAUUUGUCUUUAUUUUAAUGUGAUACAAAAUAUUUUUCAGCAGUGAUAGAUAUAUGAUUUAAGACCGUAGUGUAUUUAAGUUUACCGUAUUUUUCGGACUAUAAGCCUGAGUAUAAGUCGCAUCAGUCCAAAAAUACGUCAUGACGAGGAAAAAAACAUAUAUAAGUCGCACCGGACUAUAAGUCGCAUUUAUUUAGACCCAAGAACCAAGAGAAAACAUUACCGUCUACAGCCGCGGGAGGGCGCUCUAUGCUGCUCAGUGUUAGACUACAGGAGCACUGAGCAGCAUCUCUGGCAGCAUAGAGCGCCCUCUGGCGGCUGUAGACGGUAAUGUUUUCUGUUAGUUCAUUUCUCUCGGUUCAUGUCAAAUUAAUUUUGAUAAAUAAGUCGCACCUGACUAUAAGUCGCAGGACCAGCCAAACUAUGAAAAAAAAGUGCGACUUAUAGUCCGGAAAAUACGAUAGUUA